UGCCUAAUACAUGCAAGUCGAACGAGUUCUUGUUGAUGAUCGGUGCUUGCACCGAGAUUCAACAUGGAACGAGUGGCGGACGGGUGAGUAACACGUGGGUAACCUGCCCUUAAGUGGGGGAUAACAUUUGGAAACAGAUGCUAAUACCGCAUAGAUCCAAGAACCGCAUGGUUCUUGGCUGAAAGAUGGCGUAAGCUAUCGCUUUUGGAUGGACCCGCGGCGUAUUAGCUAGUUGGUGAGGUAAUGGCUCACCAAGGCGAUGAUACGUAGCCGAACUGAGAGGUUGAUCGGCCACAUUGGGACUGAGACACGGCCCAAACUCCUACGGGAGGCAGCAGUAGGGAAUCUUCCACAAUGGACGCAAGUCUGAUGGAGCAACGCCGCGUGAGUGAAGAAGGCUUUCGGGUCGUAAAACUCUGUUGUUGGAGAAGAAUGGUCGGCAGAGUAACUGUUGUCGGCGUGACGGUAUCCAACCAGAAAGCCACGGCUAACUACGUGCCAGCAGCCGCGGUAAUACGUAGGUGGCAAGCGUUAUCCGGAUUUAUUGGGCGUAAAGCGAGCGCAGGCGGUUUUUUAAGUCUGAUGUGAAAGCCCUCGGCUUAACCGAGGAAGCGCAUCGGAAACUGGGAAACUUGAGUGCAGAAGAGGACAGUGGAACUCCAUGUGUAGCGGUGAAAUGCGUAGAUAUAUGGAAGAACACCAGUGGCGAAGGCGGCUGUCUGGUCUGUAACUGACGCUGAGGCUCGAAAGCAUGGGUAGCGAACAGGAUUAGAUACCCUGGUAGUCCAUGCCGUAAACGAUGAAUGCUAGGUGUUGGAGGGUUUCCGCCCUUCAGUGCCGCAGCUAACGCAUUAAGCAUUCCGCCUGGGGAGUACGACCGCAAGGUUGAAACUCAAAGGAAUUGACGGGGGCCCGCACAAGCGGUGGAGCAUGUGGUUUAAUUCGAAGCAACGCGAAGAACCUUACCAGGUCUUGACAUCUUUUGAUCACCUGAGAGAUCAGGUUUCCCCUUCGGGGGCAAAAUGACAGGUGGUGCAUGGUUGUCGUCAGCUCGUGUCGUGAGAUGUUGGGUUAAGUCCCGCAACGAGCGCAACCCUUAUGACUAGUUGCCAGCAUUUAGUUGGGCACUCUAGUAAGACUGCCGGUGACAAACCGGAGGAAGGUGGGGAUGACGUCAAAUCAUCAUGCCCCUUAUGACCUGGGCUACACACGUGCUACAAUGGAUGGUACAACGAGUUGCGAGACCGCGAGGUCAAGCUAAUCUCUUAAAGCCAUUCUCAGUUCGGACUGUAGGCUGCAACUCGCCUACACGAAGUCGGAAUCGCUAGUAAUCGCGGAUCAGCACGCCGCGGUGAAUACGUUCCCGGGCCUUGUACACACCGCCCGUCACACCAUGAGAGUUUGUAACACCCGAAGCCGGUGGCGUAACCCUUUUAGGGAGCGAGCCGUCUAAG
rnacentral:rRNA from 2 species